CGCUACACUCCUACGGGAGGCAGCAGUGGGGAAUAUUGCACAAUGGGGGAAACCCUGAUGCAGCCAUGCCGCGUGUGUGAAGAAGGCCUUCGGGUUGUAAAGCACUUUCAGUAGGGAGGAAGGUAGUGUAGUUAACACCUGCAUUAUUUGACGUUACCUACAGAAGAAGCACCGGCUAACUCCGUGCCAGCAGCCGCGGUAAUACGGAGGGUGCGAGCGUUAAUCGGAAUUACUGGGCGUAAAGCGCAUGCAGGCGGCCUGUUAAGUCAGAUGUGAAAGCCCGGGGCUUAACCUCGGAAUUGCAUUUGAAACUGGCAGGCUAGAGUCUUGUAGAGGGGGUAGAAUUUCAGGUGUAGCGGUGAAAAUGCGUAGAGAUCUGAAGGAAUACCAGUGGCGAAGGCGGCCCCCUGGACAAAGACUGACGCUCAGAUGCGAAAGCGUGGGGAGCAAACAGGAUUAGAUACCCUGGUAG
rnacentral:rRNA from 1 species